rnacentral:rRNA from 1 species
GGGAAUAUUGGGCAAUGGAGGCAACUCUGACCCAGCAACGCCGCGUGAAUGAUGAAGGUCUUCGGAUUGUAAAGUUCUUUUCUAAGGGAAGAAGAAAGUGACGGUACCUUAGGAAUAAGCCUCGGCUAACUACGUGCCAGCAGCCGCGGUAAUACGUAGGAGGCAAGCGUUAUCCGGAAUGACUGGGCGUAAAGGGUGCGUAGGUGGUUUGACAAGUUAGUAGCGCAACUCCGGAGCUCAACUUCGGAACUACUACUAAAACUGUUGAACUUGAGUGCAGGAGGGGCAAUCGGAAUUCCUAGUGUAGCGGUGGAAUGCGUAGAUAUUAGGAGGAACACCAGUGGCGAAGGCGGAUUGCUAGACUGUAACUGACACUGAGGCACGAAAGCGUGGGGAGCAAACAGG